rnacentral:rRNA from 1 species
AGUGAACGCUGGCGGUAGGCCUAACACAUGCAAGUCGAACGGCAGCACAGUAAGAGCUUGCUCUUACGGGUGGCGAGUGGCGGACGGAUGAGGAAUACAUCGGAAUCUACUUUUUCGUGGGGGAUAACGUAGGGAAACUUACGCUAAUACCGCAUACGACCUACGGGUGAAAGCAGGGGAUCUUCGGACCUUGCGCGAUUGAACGAGCCGAUGUCGGAUUAGCUAGUUGGCGGGGUAAAGGCCCACCAAGGCGACGAUCCGUAGCUGGUCUGAGAGGAUGAUCAGCCACACUGGAACUGAGACACGGUCCAGACUCCUACGGGAGGCAGCAGUGGGGAAUAUUGGACAAUGGGCGCAAGCCUGAUCCAGCCAUACCGCGUGGGUGAAGAAGGCCUUCGGGUUGUAAAGCCCUUUUGUUGGGAAAGAAAAGCAGCAGGUUAAUACCCCGCUGUUCUGACGGUACCCAAAGAAUAAGCACCGGCUAACUUCGUG